rnacentral:rRNA from 1 species
GAUAUGCGGCCCGUACCAAAACCGACACAGGUGGGCAGGGAGAGAAUCCCGAGGUGAGCGAGAGAACUGUUGCCAAGGAACUCGGCAAAAUGACUCCGUAAGUUAGCGAGAAGGAGUGCUUAAGCAAUUAAGCCGCAGUGAAGAGGCCCAAGCGACUGUUUAACUAAAACACAGCUCUCUGCGAAGUCGCAAGACGAAGUAUAGGGGGUGACACCUGCCCGGUGCUGGAAGGUUAAGAGGAUCUGUUAAGAGCGAUCUGAAGCAGUGAUCCGAAGCCCCAGUGAACGGCGGCCGUAACAAUAACGGUCCUAAGGUAGCGAAAUUCCUUGUCAGGUAAGUUCUGACCCGCACGAAAGGUGUAACGAUUUGGGCGCUGUCUCGGCAGCAGACUCGGUGAAAUCUUAGUACCUGUGAAAAUGCAGGUUACCCGCAACUAGACGGAAAGACCCCAUGGAGCUUUACUGCAGCCUGAUAUUGAAUUCUGGUCAUACAUGUACAGGAUAGGUGGGAGACAAAGAGACGUGCACGCCAGUGUACGAGGAGUCGACGUUGGGAUACCACUCUUGUGUGACCGGGGUUCUAACCUGGUAUCGAGAACAGGUACGGGGAGAGUGUCAGGUGGGCAGUUUGACUGGGGCGGUCGCCUCCCAAAGAGUAACGGAGGCGCCCAAAGGUACGCUCAGAUUGGAUGGAAACCAAUCGACGAGUGCAAUUGCAGAAGCGUGCUUGACUGUGAGACAAACAAGUCGAACAGGGACGAAAGUCGGGAAUAGUGAUCCGGCGGUGCCGAAUGGAAGGGCCGUCGCUCAACGGAUAAAAGCUACCCUGGGGAUAACAGGCUGAUCUCGCCCAAGAGUUCACAUCGACGGCGAGGUUUGGCACCUCGAUGUCGGCUCAUCGCAUCCUGGAGCUGGAUUCGGUUCCAAGGGUUGGGCUGUCCGCCCAUUAAAGCGGUACGCGAGCUGGGUUCAGAACGUCGUGAGACAGUUCGGUCCCUAUCUGUUGUGGGCGAAGGAGAUCUGCGGAGAGCUGUCCUCAGUACGAGAGGACCGGGAUGGACCUACCGCUGGUGCACCGGUUGUUCCGCCAGGGGCAUAGCCGGGUAGCUAAGUAGGGAAAGGAUAAGCGCUGAAAGCAUCUAAGCACGAAGCCUACUCCAAGAUGAGAUCUCCCAUUCGCAAGAAGUAAGACCCCUUAAAGACGAUAAGGUAGAUAGGCCAGGGAUGGAAGUGCAGUGAUGUACGGAGUUGACUGGUACUAAUCGGUCGAGGACUUAAUCAA